CAAGAGGUUGGUCUUGUAUUUAAUCAGUGGUCAGAUAGUAUCAGUAAUGAGUGAGUGAUACAUUUGCCCAGACACGCACAUUUCAUUUUAAUAUUCGGCAAUACGUUUUUAGUGUUACCCGCCUUUUUGUCCGUUUUAUUUGAAUUGUUUUAGGCCAUGCUUUUAGACUGUCCUGAUGGUCUGCGUCAAAAGUAUGCACAAAAGCAAUAACAUUGUUAACAUGUAUCUGUUCCAACACACUUGAAGAAAGGAAGCACUUUCGCGUCAUCACCCGGAAGUGACCUUUGUGCCACAGUGAAGGGAGUCAUCUGUUCAGAAUGGACAGUUUCCCGAAGUGUUCUGUCUGUCAGCAGCAGUUUACCCUGAAAGGUCCAGUCCCCUACUUACUGCCCUGUCUACACGCUGUGUGUGAGACGUGUGUGACAUCUGUAGCUGGCGGUGUGAUAUCAUGCUCUACAUGUCAGAGGGAGGUCAACCUCACAGACACAAGUCUCCAGAAGGAUGCAGUCAGACAGAAGGAAAUAUUCCACCUGACAGUCAAACAUCUCCCCACAGAGCUCCUCUGUACACAUGAAGAUGACGGCAACCAGGCUGUGUGUUGGUGUCGGUUUAAACUUAGAAUUCAAUACAGAUUGCAAAGCACUUGCACAAAAUGUUAUUACAGUGUUGAUAAAGUUUAAAUAAAAGAGACAAGACCCUUUCUAUGUGCAUAAGAAAUCAUAGCUAAUAGCAGUGUCGGUUGUCCAAUUCCGACUAUACCAUGAGCGUCAAACUGAAGCUUCAUUAAUGCGUCAAGUUUGAAAAUGUCCUCCAUAUGUCCUACAUAAAUCGUACUGACUGAGGUCUUUGAUCAAACCAAUUUUUGAGGAACAAUCAUGUGGCGUCGUUGCAAUCUUCAUGGAGAAAGCAUGCUCGGUUGUACAUCGAAGGCUGUGAAAUAGAGACACCCUCGAGACAUUUUGCUCGAGAUAAAGGGAAAGUUGACUCAUGGAAAGUUGAAGUCGUCAUGAACUUUUUGACGAAUGAUUUCCAUGGCGAUGUGGUAGACUAGCUGUUAUGAAUACCAUUAUCCGAAGUAUAUUUCAACGGACAUUUAAUACAAAUCAAACUAUGGUAAUGUUUGACGCAUUUGAAAAAAAAGGUAAUCUAUGAAGAAUUUGAAAAAAAAGAAAACGGACAUUUCAGAUUAGCGCAAUCCGUAACUAUUCGUUCACGGCUUGCUGUCUUCUCUCACGUCCGCGCUUGCUCGUGGCAUUUACCGCUAAAAUUUAUGGAUUACAUUAUGUCAGUUGAGCGAACUUUAUCAGAAUACGUUACGGCAAAGACGUGCAUGUGUUGCAGCGGUUGAAAAUGGCACUUGUCCAAAGGUCCUUGCCAAACUGACCAAUAGUUAAGGUAAAAUACGGACAAGUUGAAAUUUGCAAUUUUUAAGGGUUUAUCAUUAUAAGGACUAGAAGAAAAAACAUUUAGUUUCUAUAGUUUGCAGAUGUACAUGUAUGUACAUCAUUGGUAAUGAUAACAUUGGAGAAUCGAUUUCCAUAUAUCAAUUAAUAACUCUAAAAAGUAUGCUUACAAAUGCAUACAUGAAGAAUCUGUGAACAUUUUUGAGCAUUUUCUUAAUAUUCCAGAGGUACACCCACACUUUCAUAAGCCACUUUCUUAUGGCUGUAAUGGGAAGAACUUAGAAGAUUAUUUCUUAUUCCAAGGUCCUUACUGUUAUACUUACUGUCCUUAAUGUCCUUUAUUUAAUCUUUUGAAAAGUAUCAUCAGUCACAAAUCCUGUAACUGUUUAAAUGAGAUAUAUAAGACAAAUGUACAAAUCUCUAAAUAUAUGCAUAUUUAUUGACAGUAUUUACAUGUGAAUAAUAUAUCAACUAUGUACAAUAAAGUUUU
rnacentral:lncRNA from 1 species